UUUAUAAUUUAUAUUUAUAUUUAUAUUUAUAUUUAUAUUUAUAUUUAUAUUUAUAUUUAUGCAUAGUUAUUUAGUUAGAGGUAUAUGGGAGUUUAGAUACAUAAAUUGAGCUGUGUAGACCUAGGCUGCAUUUUUGCCUCUUUCCCCCUCAGCUGCCUUUUUAAUUUUUUGCUUUUCUGCUUGCCUCCCCUCUGUCUCCUCUUCCUGUGCUGGGUCCGAGCUGGUGGCCAGGCCAGGUGGAGCAGCAGUUCCAGCCCCGGAUGUCCCUGGAGCGGUGGGAGCUGUCGGUGGCCCCAGGCACUGUCCCCUGAGGAACUGCUGAAGGACGCUGCACUGAAAACCUUGAGCAAGCCAGAGACUGACAGGAGCCAGGAGAGAGAAGCUGAAGACCACAAGCAAGAGCAGUGAACAGGGAUGGGCUGCUGCCACCUGAGACCCCGGGCGAGGCCACAGGGCCGGUGCUACCAAGGGAAAUGUCCAAUACUGACUCAGUUCCCUUCACUUCCCAUCUGCUGUCCCUGUCCAGGAGAGCUGCUCUGCACCAGAGGAAGUGACAGAGGGAGAGGCUUUGAGGAUGGGGCUGCUGGAAUCCCUCUGCUUGUAGUUCUGUUUAAUGAUGUCUAGACUUGCUCAUAAAGAGGGAUAAUUACAUGGAUAUUUAUAUAUGUGUGUUGCUACUUAUAUAGGACUAUUUCUAUGUGUCUGUUAUAUUUAUGCAUGUACUAUGUAUAUAUGUAUGUGAAUAUAUACAAAUGUUUGUAAUUACAUAAAUGUGUCGAUAUGUAUCUAAUUAUACAUGUAUGUUAUAUCUGUAGUUCUGGUUUUUAGGUUUAUAGUUGUGCAGGUAUCUUUUUCUAUUGAUGCAGUGAUAGGUAUAUAGCUCUUUAGGUAUAUUGGUAUUUGUAUCAGUGGAUAGGUCUAUUUUUAUAUUUUGUAUGUAUAUUGAUCUAUUCCUGUCUAUUUAGUUACAUUUACAUAUGUGUCCGGAUGUAUAGCUGCAUAUGCAGUUGGAUGGAUAUUUAUUGGUACAGUGAUAUUUGUAUAUUUAUGGAUAGGUUUGGGGGUUAUAUACCUACUUUUAUAUGUAUAUUGUAUGUAAUAUAUAGAAUAUAGAGUAAUGUUUACUCUAGAUCUACUUUUGUAGAUUGUUCUAGAGCUAUAUAUGUAUUUAUAUAUACAUGCAUAUUUAUGUAUUUAAUUCCAUUUAAACAUGUAUGGAGUUGUAUAGUUGUAUAACUCUAUUGAGUUCUCAGUCUAGGGCUAUUUAGUGAGGGAAUGUAUAUUUUUGUAUUUCUAUAUGGUCUUUAAGCCUGUAGUAAUAUAUAGUAUGUAAUAAAUAUAAGUUGUUAACACCUAAUUGAUCUUUGUGGAUAGUGACUUGUUGUAGUGUUUGGCAAUAAAUUAGGUUUUUUUAUCAUAAGUUGGUGUUUGUAUAUUUUUACAUAGACUGGUUGUAAUAAUCUCAUAAAUUCCUUUUUUCAACCUUAUUUGAGAUUUGUAUAGUUAUUGUCAGUGCAGGUGUAGCAAUUUGUAAUAAAUGACAUUUUUCAACUGAAGUUGAUUCUGGUGUAUUUGUCAAUCAGCAGUGCCACUGUAGCAAUCUGCAAGAAAUAACAUUUGUCAGCUGAGAUGGGUGUUUCGUCAUUUGUGCUAUUGAAAGCAAUGAGCAGAUGUAAAUGCUGGAGGAUUUUCACCAUGAAAUCUCCACCUAUGCCCAGCACAUGCCCCAUUUGCCCUCAGUUUGGGCAAGGAAAGUGCUGAUUAGGGGUGGCAGCAGAGCCGCACAUUGGCUAAGAACUCGCUGCAAAGGCUCGCUGAGAAAACUCCAGGACUCCACUGAGCAUAGAACUCCUGCUCUGUGAAUAUUGAGAUAAUUCGAUCGAUGUUUGGUUCUUUAUAUACAUACAUACAUGUAUAUA